AGGACGGGUGAGUAACGCGUGAGAAUCUGCCAUCAGGUCUGGGACAACCACUGGAAACGGUGGCUAAUACCGGAUGUGCCCGUAAUUGGGUGAAAGGUUAACUGCCUGUUGAUGAGCUCGCGUCUGAUUAGCUAGUUGGAAGUGUAAUGGACUCCCAAGGCGACGAUCAGUAGCUGGUCUGAGAGGACGAUCAGCCACACUGGGACUGAGACACGGCCCAGACUCCUACGGGAGGCAGCAGUGGGGAAUUUUCCGCAAUGGGCGAAAGCCUGACGGAGCAAUACCGCGUGAGGGAGGAAGGCUCUUGGGUCGUAAACCUCUUUUCUCAGGGAAGAACACAAUGACGGUACCUGAGGAAUAAGCAUCGGCUAACUCCGUGCCAGCAGCCGCGGUAAUACGGAGGAUGCAAGCGUUAUCCGGAAUGAUUGGGCGUAAAGCGUCCGCAGGUGGCAAUGUAAGUCUGCUGUUAAAGAGUCUAGCUCAACUAGAUAAGAGCAGUGGAAACUACAUAGCUAGAGUACGUUCGGGGCAGAGGGAAUUCCUGGUGUAGCGGUGAAAUGCGUAGAGAUCAGGAAGAACACCAGUGGCGAAGGCGCUCUGCUAGGCCGUAACUGACACUGAGGGACGAAAGCUAGGGGAGCGAAUGGGAUUAGAUACCCCAGUAGUC
rnacentral:rRNA from 1 species